rnacentral:misc_RNA from 1 species
AAGGCCUCAACCAAAGGG